rnacentral:rRNA from 1 species
UCGGGAAUUUUGGGCAAUGGGCGAAAGCCUGACCCAGCAACGCCGCGUGAGGGAUGAAGUAUUUCGGUAUGUAAACCUCGAAAGAAUGGGAAGAAUAAAUGACGGUACCAUUUAUAAGCUCCGGCUAACUACGUGCCAGCAGCCGCGGUAAUACGUAGGGAGCAAGCGUUGUUCGGAUUUACUGGGCGUAAAGGGCGCGUAGGCGGCGGGGUAAGUCACUUGUGAAAUCUCUGAGCUUAACUCAGAACGGCCAAGGUAUACUGCUGUGCUAGAGUGCGGAAGAGGCAACCGGAAUUCUUGGUGUAGCGGUGAAAUGCGUAGAUAUCAAGAGGAACACCUGAGGCGAAGGCGGGUUGCUGGGCCGACACUGACGCUGAUGCGCGAAAGCCAGGGGAGCAAACG